rnacentral:rRNA from 1 species
CGUAGGGUGCGAGCGUUUAUCCGGAAUUAUUGGGCGUAAAGAGCUCGUAGGCGGUUUGUCGCGUCUGUCGUGAAAGUCCGGGGCUUAACCCCGGAUCUGCGGUGGGUACGGGCAGACUAGAGUGCAGUAGGGGAGACUGGAAUUCCUGGUGUAGCGGUGGAAUGCGCAGAUAUCAGGAGGAACACCGAUGGCGAAGGCAGGUCUCUGGGCUGUAACUGACGCUCAGGAGCGAAAGCAUGGGGAGCGAACAGGAUUAGAUACCCUGGUAGUCCAUGCCGUAAACGUUGGGCACUAGGUGUGGGGACCAUUCCACGCUUUCCGCGCCGCAGCUAACGCAUUAAGUGCCCCGCCUGGGGAGUACGGCCGCAAGGCUAAAACUCAAAGGAAUUGACGGGGGCCCGCACAAGCGGCGGAGCAUGCGGAUUAAUUCGAUGCAACGCGAAGAACCUUACCAAGGCUUGACAUGUUCUCGAUCGCCGUAGAGAUACGGUUUCCCCUUUGGGGCGGGUUCACAGGUGGUGCAUGGUUGUCGUCAGCUCGUGUCGUGAGAUGUUGGGUUAAGUCCCGCAACGAGCGCAACCCUCGUACCAUGUUGCCAGCACGUAAUGGUGCGGACUCAUGGGAGACUGCCGGGGUCAACUCGGAGGAAGGUGAGGACGACGUCAAAUCAUCAUGCCCCUUAUGUCUUGGGCUUCACGCAUGCUACAAUGGCCGGUACAAUGGGUUGCGAUACUGUGAGGUGGAGCUAAUCCCAAAAAGCCGGUCUCAGUUCGGAUUGGGGUCUGCAACUCGACCCCAUGAAGUCGGAGUCGCUAGUAAUCGCAGAUCAGCAACGCUGCGGUGAAUACGUUCCCGGGCCUUGUACACACCGCCCGUCAAGUCACGAAAGUCGGUAACACCCGAAGCCGGUGGCCUAACCCUU